UUUAAUAUAGCGCUCAUUUUCUAGGGAAUAGAUUUUCGAUACCCAAAUCCUCUUUCUUCAUUUUAGACCUUUAUGUUCAUCAUUUUUUUCUUUUCUUCACACUCCAAUCUCAGAAUUUUCUCUUCACCUAAUUUUGAUUGUCUUCACACUCCAGUUUGCUAAAGUCUUUAGAUAAUCACACUUCAUACUCAGAAUUAUGUAUAACAUGAAAAGGUUGGUGUUUGGUGACAGUUGAUCUUUGGUCUGAGAUAAUUAGAUCAGAGGAAGAAGACGGAGAUGGGUUCAGAGAAGUACCUCAGGUCGAGGUUUAUCAGAGAAGGAAGAAGCUUGAGAAGCCUUCCGCAGCCGAAAAUUUAGUGUGGUCGGUGAAAGGGGCUCGAACUAGUUUUAUCAAUGGACCCAAGAGAGAUAGCUGGACUCGUUCCCUUUCCACCAGACGGAGGGGAGUAUAGCAGUGGGAGCUUAUGUCAACAAUCAGCCUCAGAAGAAGCCUGUUAGGAGAAAGAAGCCUGCACCACUCGGUAAUGGGUUCUCUCCUUUUCUCCUUCAUAUUGUAGAUUUGGGUUCUUCUAAUUCUAGAUGUUUAAUAAAAUAAAAUUGUGUGGUCUCUUUGAUUUGUGGAUUUGUACGAAGGUAAUGUCGUUCCUUCAGUCGGUGGAGUCUGGUGUUAUUUGAGCUUGUAAGUGUCAAAUGGUGA